rnacentral:rRNA from 1 species
AACGAACGCUGGCGGCAUGCCUAACACAUGCAAGUCGAACGAAACCUUCGGGUCUAGUGGCGCCCGGGUGCGUAACGCGUGGGAACCUGCCCUUAGGUUCGGAAUAACUCCCCGAAAGGGGUGCUAAUACCGGAUAAUGUCUUCGGACCAAAGAUUUAUCGCCUUUGGAUGGACCCGCGUUGGAUUAGCUAGUUGGUAGGGUAAAAGCCUACCAAGGCGACGAUCCAUAGCUGGUCUGAGAGGAUGAUCAGCCACACUGGGACUGAGACACGGCCCAGACUCCUACGGGAGGCAGCAGUGGGGAAUAUUGGACAAUGGGCGAAAGCCUGAUCCAGCAAUGCCGCGUGAGUGAUGAAGGCCUUAGGGUUGUAAAGCUCUUUUACCCGGGAUGAUAAUGACAGUACCGGGAGAAUAAGCUCCGGCUAACUCCGUG